GACGAACGCUGGCGGCGUGCUUAACACAUGCAAGUCGAACGGUGAAGCGCCUUCCUUUUUGGUGGGUGUGGAUGAGUGGCGAACGGGUGAGUAACACGUGAGUAACCUGCCCCCUUCUUCUGGAUAACCGCAUGAAAGUGUGGCUAAUACGGGAUAUUCUGGGUCUGUCGCAUGAUGGGUCUGGGAAAGAUAUUGUUUCGGUGGGGGAUGGGCUCGCGGCCUAUCAGCUUGUUGGUGGGGUGAUGGCCUACCAAGGCGGUGACGGGUAGCCGGCCUGAGAGGGUGGACGGUCACACUGGGACUGAGACACGGCCCAGACUCCUACGGGAGGCAGCAGUGGGGAAUAUUGCACAAUGGGCGCAAGCCUGAUGCAGCGACGCCGCGUGAGGGAUGGAGGCCUGCGGGUUGUGAACCCCUUUCGCCAGUGAAGCAGGCCUGCCUCGUUUGUGGGUGGGUUGACGGUAGCUGGAUAAGAAGCGCCGGCUAACUACGUG
rnacentral:rRNA from 1 species